rnacentral:lncRNA from 1 species
CCCAACCCCAUCUCUCUCAUCUCCCCCUUUUUUUUCUUCUUUGCCCCUUUCCCUCUUUUCCCUCCCUCUCUUCUUCCCUUUACGAAUCAAACCCUUCCCCGCCUCUUCUCCUUCUUCUUCUUCUACCUCUUCAUUUUCCCGCAUUUUCAAAAUCAAGAAUCUUCUCUCUUUUCACUGAAACAUAUGGGAAAAUACAUGAGAAAAGCUAAAAUAACAGGGGAUGUAGCAGUGAUGGAGGUGUCACAGGCAACUCCACUCGGUGUUCGCACCAGAGCAAGAACUCUGGCUCUUCAGCGCCUCCACUCUUCCUCCACUCCGCCGCCGCCGUCUGCUUCUGCUUCAGACUCUUGUUACAUUCAGCUUCGUUCCCGCCGCCUUGAGAAACCACCUACCCCACCCUCCGACCACAGAAAGACCAAUAACCUUCUCACAGAGGAAAACCCAAAAUCUGAUUCGAGGUUUCUAGUGUCUGGCUCUGUUGGGUCUGUUUCAAUUACACAAAAAGAUGGUUUCUUGGAUGUUAAUGAAAUUUCAUUUGGAGCCUAGCUCUUCAGCGCCUCCAAUCUUCUUCCACUCCGCCGCCGCCGUCUGCUUCUGCUUCAGACUCUUGUUACCUUCAGCUUCG